AUUGAACGCUGGCGGCAUGCCUUACACAUGCAAGUCGAACGGUAACAGGUUAAGCUGACGAGUGGCGAACGGGUGAGUAAUAUAUCGGAACGUGCCCAGUCGUGGGGGAUAACUGCUCGAAAGAGCAGCUAAUACCGCAUACGACCUGCGGGUGAAAGCGGGGGAUCGCAAGACCUCGCGCGAUUGGAGCGGCCGAUAUCAGAUUAGGUAGUUGGUUGGGUAAAGGCCCACCAAGCCAACGAUCUGUAGCUGGUCUGAGAGGACGACCAGCCACACUGGGACUGAGACACGGCCCAGACUCCUACGGGAGGCAGCAGUGGGGAAUUUUGGACAAUGGGCGCAAGCCUGAUCCAGCCAUGCCGCGUGCGGGAAGAAGGCCUUCGGGUUGUAAACCGCUUUUGUCAGGGAAGAAAAGGUUCUGGUUAAUACCUGGGACUCAUGACGGUACCUGAAGAAUAAGCACCGGCUAACUACGUGCCAGCCGCCGCGGUAA
rnacentral:rRNA from 1 species